UUUGAGGACGCCGUCGGUAUAAAUAGGAGUCCGCAAAAAGAGGCAGUCAUCAGUUGGGUUCACUUCUCUGACUCGUCACGUCAUGUUUGCCAAGCUUAUAAUGGUGGCCAUGUUGGCCCUUGUGGUGCUGGCCGUAGCCGAGGCUCAUCCUGGAUUCUUUGGAGGAGGAGGCUAUGGAGGAGGAGGCUUCGGUUAUGGUGGUGGCUAUGGUGGUUAUGGAGGAGGAGGAAGCGGUGGCGGUGGUGGUGGAUAUGGAGGUGGUGGAUCCAGACCUCCUUUCGUCCCAGUUUUGGGUUAAAUCAGGGUAGGAGUUGAAAAGCAGCAUUAGCGCCUACUGACAGGAAUACUGUAUCCAGUCAUACAGUAUUUUCGACUUGUUAGCAUUUUUGGGUACUUUGAUUAAUAUUGACCAUUUUUUCAUGUUUAGAUUCAUUUUGUGAACUUUAUGUUAUUGCAAAAUUGACUUUGUACGUGAAUGAUUAAAAAAUUUAGAAUAUAAAA